GGGGGACUAACUCAAUUGGUAGAGUGCCAGCUUUGCAAGCUGGAAGUUAGGGGUUCAAGUCCCCUGUCCUCCA
rnacentral:tRNA from 2 species